rnacentral:rRNA from 1 species
AAUAGAUACCCUGGUAGUCCACGCCGUAAACGUUGGGCGCUAGGUGUGGGGUUCUUCCACGGAUUCCGCGCCGUAGCUAACGCAUUAAGCGCCCCGCCUGGGGAGUACGGCCGCAAGGCUAAACUCAAAGGAAUUGACGGGGGCCCGCACAAGCGGCGGAGCAUGUUGCUUAAUUCGACGCAACGCGAAGAACCUUACCAAGGCUUGACAUCGCCGGAAAUCCCGCAGAGAUGCGGGGUCCUUUUGGGCCGGUGACAGGUGGUGCAUGGCUGUCGUCAGCUCGUGUCGUGAGAUGUUGGGUUAAGUCCCGCAACGAGCGCAACCCUCGUUCCAUGUUGCCAGCACGUAGUGGUGGGGACUCAUGGGAGACCGCCGGGGUCAACUCGGAGGAAGGUGGGGAUGACGUCAAGUCAUCAUGCCCCUUAUGUCUUGGGCUGCAAACAUGCUACAAUGGCCGGUACAGAGGGCUGCGAUACCGUGAGGUGGAGCGAAUCCCUUAAAGCCGGUCUCAGUUCGGAUCGAAGUCUGCAACUCGACUUCGU